rnacentral:tRNA from 1 species
CCGUCUGGUAGCCCAGGUGCCGGGGGAGGACCUCGACGUGGAACUCCAGGGCCCCGGCACGGCGCAGCUGUUCGAGACGCCGCCGGACGGU